GUAGUAGUUGAAAUAAUUGCAAACAGAUGAUCCUUCGCCUAACCUUUUUUUUAUUGAUAGCCAUUUUAGCCACCCUUCGUCUAACAUUGACCUUAGCAACUAGCAACGCAAGUGAAUCAUAACUUAGUUUAACUGCCAACUACCUUUGGUUAGUGAAGUGAGUAAGCAGUAGUUGGUAAAUGUGUUUAAGGAGCACUUAAUUGCCAGCUCAUCACACCAUGAAAAACGCACACCGCCACGUGGCAAGCACUUAACCUCCCCGCCUUUUUCACCAUUCAGGUAGGAAAACCAAAAAAAAAAAAAAACAACUUUCUUCUUCAUGCGAUUCCGUUCCCCUUUCUCUGAAACUGUGAUCCUUGUAACACACGCAUUCUGUUCCCACUAACUUGUUUCUUUCUUUCUUUCUUUUUUUCUUUAUUUCCCCACUUAAAGUUAAAGGUUUAAAAUAAAAGGAAGAGAGAUGAAAUAGAAGAUUAAAAAAAGAGUGAGGGGUGUAGAAGCUUUUGGAGUGCUUCAUUCAAAGUUUCAAAUUUUCUUUUUCUUCUUUUGUGUUUCCGACUUCUCCACCGGUUCCUGAGUGGAGAGCUCAAUUCAAUUCAAUUCACCACCGAAGUCAUGUACGAGAUUCCUAUUUGAUUGUUUAGCGAAUUUAUUAUUUUUGCAUCGGUUUCGCUUCAGU